rfam:Exophiala spinifera strain CBS 89968 unplaced genomic scaffold supercont1.1, whole genome shotgun sequence.
CUUCCAUGAUGAUUAAAGGUUUUUUCUCAAUCAGUUCUGCUUCUGAAUACAAGUUGAAGAAAUCAUUACCAAGCUUACCAAUUGUCUGAUCU